rnacentral:rRNA from 1 species
GAUGAACGCUGGCGGCGUGCCUAAUACAUGCGAGUCGAGCGAACAGACGAGGAGCUUGCUCCUCUGACGUUAGCGGCGGACGGGUGAGUAACACGUGGAUAACCUACCUAUAAGACUGGGAUAACUUCGGGAAUCCGGAGCUAAUACCGGAUAAUAUAUUGAACCGCAUGGUUCAAUAGUGAAAGACGGUUUUGCUGUCACUUAUAGAUGGAUCCGCGCCGCAUUAGCUAGUUGGUAAGGUAACGGCUUACCAAGGCAACGAUGCGUAGCCGACCUGAGGGAGUGACCGGCCACACAGGAACUGAGACACGGUCCAGACUCCUACGGGGGGCAGCAGUAGGGAAUCUUCCGCAGUAGGCGAAAGCCUGACAGAGCAACGCCGCGUGAGUGAUGAAGGUCUUCGGAUCGUAAAACUCUGUGAUUAGGGAAGAACAAAUGUGUAACUAACUAUGCACGUCUUAACGGUACCUAAUCAGAAAGCCACGGCUAACUACGUG